CCCUCCAGUUGAGCGGGGUAAUCCUCUUUGGGGGCCAGCCGCUAAUUGCUCCGCUCGAAGCUCGAGGAGCCAGUAACUCGAUCCUGGUCAGCCAACUCGAACAAAGUUUAACGCACGCAUCACGCAUCACGCUCCCCAUCCGCAUCCGCAUCCAUCUUUACAACUUGGUGACUACGUGCACCUGGUCCUUUCAUCGGAUUUCUGCUCCUUUGGCCCGACUUCUCAACUGCCAACUGUCGGGGAAAGUGCAGCGAUUCCCAUUGCUUUUUGUGGGUUCCCCAGCAACAUCUUCCCGAGGCACGCGGCAAACUUUGCGCCCUGCAAGUUUUUCAAUUUCGCCGGCGUUGUCUCAACAUUUAUCUGCCCCUCACGUUGUCAGUGCUUGUACAGAGAUUUUUUUGUCAUGGUCGCUGGGACGUUCUAGCUUUCUGUCAACGGCCAACCAAAAGCGCAUCUGGUUCCCAGAUACAUACAGCUGAAUUAUUUUACUUAAGUUUCGCAACACUCUGCUGCCGCAGAGAUUAGCAACUUUGUCAGGGGAUUUGCAUCAACUUGCCGGUUUACCUGGGACAAAGAGUCGCAAAUAACCAUUUGUAAAGGCGAGAGGGUUCCAGAAUCUGAACAUAUGAAUACCUCACCAAUUUUUUGUCUGUAUUUGCAUGUUGCUAUGAAUUCGAUUAAAGGCCACGUUGCCCCAUACAGGCGACUUUAUUUAUGGGCCAUUCCAGCGCCGGAUGAUGAUGAUGCAAUGCCACCCACUGGGACAUGUCCCAGCCUAGCGAAAUCGAAUUGAUAUUUAAAAGCAAAUUUACUGUACACACUUCGCGGAAUGGCAAUUUAAUUUAAAUCAUUAUUAUUGUUGUUAUGAUGCUAAAAUAAAUAAUUAAAAGUGAAA